rnacentral:misc_RNA from 1 species
AAGUCGUAACAAGGUUUCCGUAGGUGAACCUGCGGAAGGAUCAUUAUUGAAUGAACUUGGUAUGAUUGUUGCUGGCCCGUCUGGGCAUGUGCACGUCUGCCAUCUUUAUCUAUCCACCUGUGCACAUAUUGUAGGUCUGGAAUAAAUUUCUGAGGCAACUCAGCGGUGGGGAAUGCUGCUGCGAAGUGGCUUUGCCUGUAAUUUCAGAUCUAUGUUUUUCAUAUACACCAUAAAAAUGUAACAGAAUGUAUUAAUGGGUCUUGUACCUAUAAACUAUAUACAACUUUCAGCAACGGAUCUCUUGGCUCUC